rnacentral:rRNA from 1 species
GACGUAGGGCGCGAGCGUUUGUCCGGAUUUAUUGGGCGUAAAGAGCUCGUAGGCGGCUUGUCGCGUCGUCCGUGAAAACUCGGGGCUCAACCCCGAGCUUGCGGUCGAUACGGGCAGGCUCGAGUUCGGUAGGGGAGACUGGAAUUCCUGGUGUAGCGGUGAAAUGCGCAGAUAUCAGGAGGAACACCGGUGGCGAAGGCGGUUCUCUGGGCAUGUCCUGACGCUGAGGAGCGAAAGUGUGGGGAGCGAACAGG